GAUGAACGCUGGCGGCGUGCCUAAUACAUGCAAGUCGAGCGAACAGACGAGGAGCUUGCUCCUCUGACGUUAGCGGCGGACGGGUGAGUAACACGUGGAUAACCUACCUAUAAGACUGGGAUAACUUCGGGAAACCGGAGCUAAUACCGGAUAAUAUAUUGAACCGCAUGGUUCAAUAGUGAAAGACGGUUUUGCUGUCACUUAUAGAUGGAUCCGCGCCGCAUUAGCUAGUUGGUAAGGUAACGGCUUACCAAGGCGACGAUGCGUAGCCGACCUGAGAGGGUGAUCGGCCACACUGGAACUGAGACACGGUCCAGACUCCUACGGGAGGCAGCAGUAGGGAAUCUUCCGCAAUGGGCGAAAGCCUGACGGAGCAACGGCGCGUGAGUGAUGAAGGUCUUCGGAUCGUAAAACUCUGUUAUUAGGGAAGAACAAAUGUGUAAGUAAAUAUGCACGUCUUGACGGUACCUAAUCAGAAAGCCACGGCUAACUACGUG
rnacentral:rRNA from 1 species